UGGAGCUUCACAUAAGGCACCUCCAAAUAUAACAUAGAAAAGAGUGAUAUGGGACUAGACCUGUCAUUAUCAGGAUCUUGAGGAGUCCUCUGGGAGUUAAAAUGAGUUCUCUACUGCCGAGGGUUGAGGGGGCUGCUGCCCCUGAAGAAAGACAUAAGGAUGAAUCACCACACCAGGCGCUUGAUGAAACCAUGGAGACAGAUAGGAGGACUCCAGAUAGACCAGUGUCACCGACCUUCAGUUAUAAUUCCAUUAAGACUGAACAAACAAGGUCUGCCCAUUCUGCAUUCAAGGAUGGAGAUUCUACUCAACAAGAAGACAAGUAAGAUAAUACUUAUUUUUAAGUGUAGUUUUAUCUGUGUUAUUGCUAAUGUUUUUCCUGUUGUUGCUUGUAACAUCAUAUAUAUGAUUUAGUGCUGUAGAAAUAUCAG